AGGGAAUGGCUUCAAGCUGCACCAGGGAAGGUUCAGGCUGGACGUUAGGAGAUACUACUUCUCUGAAAGAGUGGUCAGGCACUGGAAUGGGCUGCCCAGGGAGGUGGAGUCACCGAGCCUGGUGGUGUUCAGAGAGUGUUUGGAUGUUGUGUUGAGUGACAUGGUUUAGCGAGAACCAUUGAUGAAGGGCGAAUGGUUGGACUGGAUGAUCCUGUGGGUCUUUUCCAACCUUAGCGGUUAUGAUUCUAUGAUUAAAUCUGAUGACAAAUUUGGUAGAUGCCAUCACAAAGAAGUGUUAUGGUAUCCAGAAAGAACCAGAAUAGUUUGUGGUUCAGUGUGAUGGUAAUGAGUUAAAAUGUAAUAAUGUGACAUCUAAUUUAGAAUUUUAUUUAUUAGAUAAGAACAAUUAUGGUACAGAGAAUAAUUCAUUGUAAAUGGAUAAGAAGGAUUCAGUCCCGUACAUUAAAGUCAAUCACAGCAUGACUAUGUAUUACCGGUGUGUGAAACAGUGAAAAAUUUGAAUGUGAUCCCAACAUAUAUCUGAUCAGGUAUCUCAAGCAGAAGCCUUAAAGCGAUAUGAUCACAGCUUCUGAGACUUAAUUUGCAAUCUGUGUGAAAAAGCAAAAGCAAUUGCCUAUAUUCAGGAACAACUGAAGACAGAGCAGUUAAGAUAACUGACAGAAUGGAAAUCUCGUUUUAUGAGGAGAAUAAAAGAGACUGCUUUUUCUGGCAUUUAAAAGUGAAAAUGGACGUGAAUGGACAUGUUAUUACUAAGAAAAUUAGAUUACUAAAAGUAACUAGAAGUUAUUAAAUACAAGGACAAUCUUGACACAAAAAUAAAUUACUGCAAACUGUAGAUGAAUUCAAAGAACAUGUAAAGCAAAAUGUUUCUGUGCAAUUAAAAGGAUACUUUGGAACAUCUAGUUCUUUAAAAUAAUAAAAUUAUAAAUGCUGGACAAAACUAUUAAGGAGAUUAUAUGUUCUGGUUACAAGUAGAAACAAUAGACUCAACAUGCUGCCCUUGGUCUGUUUCUCAAAGCUGAUGUGUAACUGUUUUUUGUGCUGUAAUUGAUGGAGAUAGGCAAGCCUUGAAAAGCUCUGCCUGUUGGAGCUCUACAUGUUGGAGCUUCACAAAGAAUGGACAGUUUCAAAUUUCUUGAACUUCCGUCUUCAGGCUGAAGUGCAAGUGUGUUAACCUGGUUAGAAUAAAAAUAGCAGAAUAAAUCAGUGAGAGGUGAUCCGUUAAAUAAUACUUUUAGUGGCAGGUAUUCAUGAAAUUUGUUCUUGUAUACAUCAAAACAAACUUCCACUUUAAAAUAAGCUAACAAAUUUCAUACAGUUUUUCAAUGUUUAUCUGUCAUUUUGCAUUUUUCUUAAAUGGAUCCAUCCACUUUAUUAAUAACUUAUUACAGUUCAGCAGCAUAACUGUCUUAGAAAUUACAUCCUAAGGUAAUGAAAGGAAGGAAUUGUAUGCUUCUGAGUUGAAGUAAUUGGUGCUUGAACUUGAUAGUGCUAAACUGCAGUUUCUGAAUUCAUAUGUGUCUAGUGUUUGCCAAGAUGUAUUAAAACCAGAACACAUUGCUAGCAUUCUUGUAUUUUGGCUUCAGUAAAAUGAUAUUUUUCUUAUUUCAAGUAUUAUAACUAUACAGUUUGGACUAGUUCCAGUGCUGGUUUUCAGCAUCAUGAAUCAUUCGAUAAUUAACUUUCCAGAGCCAAGAUAUUAAUUAUUUAAUUGUUUUUCUCCACCUGAGAAGUCAUAGAACAAAAGGUUUUGGUGACUUUUGUUCAUGUUUAUUCAAAUCCCUUUCAUCAGAAAGUUGAGCUGCAAAUCUUGUGAGAACAGUCUCUCUCAAAAUGUUCCUCAAUCCAGCCUGAAAAUGAUUCAAAAAAUGGCUUUAUUUUUUGUUAUUUCACAAAUUUCAGUUCUCUUCCUGUGUCAGAACUUAAUAUUGCAGACCGAAGGUGGAAAUGAUAAAAGUUCAGAGAUUUUAUAUAAGUAAAAUUCCUAUUUUGGGCAGCUGAGGUUUACUGUCUGAGCUAGGGGCAAUAGUUUUAAUGUUACAUUAGAUGGAAAGUUAUUUGAGAGUCCGAUGGCUCUGAUCUGAGUUUGCUGAAUGACUCUGUGCAGCUAUACAUAUACAUACCUUCUUUUAAAUGGAGCAAAAUCAUACUUUGUAAAAAAAAUCUGUAUUUAUUUGUCAACAGACUACACACAACCUGAAUAUUUAAAAGGUCAUUUUUGUUGUAGUCACUAUUGUAAACAUUAUUAUUGCAGCUUCAUCUGGAAGUUUUAUGAAUGGUCAAAUAAACUUAAUUACUGCUAAAAUUUGGUCCUAAUGCAUAUUUAAUUUUACUAGAUUCUUUUGAAAUUACCCAUCAGUGGUGAUGUGUUUAAGCAUGUGUUUUCCCAAAUAUGCUUUUCUUAAAUUCUAAAAUUAUUCUAACUUGUUCAUUAUUUUUAUUACUGAUUAAUAUGUGUGAUACGUUUGCAUCAAUUAAUAGUUAAACUGUGAUUUGUAUAAGAAUCAUAAUUGCUUACACGAUGCUUCACUCCCUUGCAAUUUUCCAAUUGCAUAAUAAUAAAAUCAAAUGAGUGUUUUAUUAAGAGAAAACGUUCCCUCCCAAGGAGUUUGAAAAAUGCCUCAAAUUAUAUCUGACCAAGCCUCUACUGUUGUACCACUAGCUUUAUAACUGAUAUAAUGGUUUACAACUGUGGUACCUGACAUAUGUCAUAUUAACUAGUACAAGUAACUAUUUUAUUAAAUGUAUGCAGUUUGAAAAACCUAGAAGCCUUCCCAUAUGAAGCAGUGUGAAAACAACAAUUCAUAUUGUCUAUCUUCCAUCCAUGGCUGGGCAAAGAUCUCAGGUCACAUAGGUUUCAAUGACAACAUUUACUACAAGUCACUGAGAUAUAAAAAAAUUGGACAAAUGAAACACUUGCGGUUUAACAGAAUAAGAGAAUGACAGUUUGUCUCCAUCCCCAGGCAAGAAGAGAAGGCUGUUUUAUUUUAAAGGUGAUGCAAGACAUUAGACAUUGCUUGCUACUUACUGUAGCUGUAGCUGUAUCACUCAGUGUUCACACAAUGUUGAAAGCUAAGCUUUCUAAAUAAUUUCAGUUGCAAGCUCUGAGGUCAAGGUCUAAAAUAAUUGCCCAAGCAGCAUAACUAAUAGCUGCAGUUCUUGAAACUUGGCACCUACUUCCAGCAAGGAUAUUCAGAAUAACAAAUUUGGCUGAGGGAAAGACAUCUUUAACAUACAGUUUUAUGUGUGAUGUCUUUUUCACUUUAAAAUGUUGUAGUAAAAUAAAGUUUGAAGAUCAAGAAGUGGUCCACAGAUGCCAGGAUAUGAAAACAGUUUUAGUCAUCUUCUGGUUCUCGAAUUUCUGCAUCACUUUUUGUUUAAUGCCCAGCUUCAAUAAAUCAGAAUAGGAUCCUUCCCAAAAUUUCUAUGUAUCUUCAUUCUCCAGAAUCACCAAGGCCCAAAUAUUCUCAAUAGCAUGCCUUAGAAUAUUUUGGGGAAAAUAUAAGGAUAGAGUUAAAUUUCUGGACAUUGGGGAAGGCAAUGGACUCAAUAUUCUCACAUUUAAAAUUAUUUAAUAUAGUUCUAUUAUAGAAAUUAUGUGAUAAAAGUUACUGUUGCAGUGACACUAUGUGAAACCAGUGAUUUAUGCUAAAACCUGAAUUUGGAAGCAUUCAUACUGAAUGUUAUUUCAUCAAGGGCAUGCAGAUUUGAAUAUUUCUUUCCCUUGGUCCUGAAAUGCAGUUGCUGUAAGCAGGGGCUCCAUAACUCAGAAUGCUUCUUUGCUGGAGUGACUGGGGAGGAAAUGUGAAGGCUGAAUUGGGAAGUGAUUGAUGAGCUUGGAGUGCAGAGCUGGAUUAUGGGUUUUCUGGGUUAUGGUGCUGAACUAAUGCACAUACCUUUUGGUAAAACUCUAGCUUAGGUAUUGAAAUAAGUCCUCUAGGUCUUCUGCUGUGAAACUAUCAGGUCAUGCUAAUAAUUGCAGUUUAGAAGCUAUGGAAUUUAACUUCAUAUCCACUGACGAUCUGUUUUCCUCACAGGUAAAAUAAGACUACUUUAAUAUUCUUCAGUCACUGCUUUAAGACCUUCUAAGAAUUAAUUAAGAGCCUCUAACAAUUAAUCCAUAAUAGAGUGUGUAAGCAUACAGUCAAGUGGUCAGAACAUAUGAAAAUCUGCUCUGGGUGUGCUUAUUCCAACAUUACAAGGAGGAGGUAAUUUUGAUGGUUUGAUGAUCACUGUUUUCACAAUAGUUGAAAUACAACAAUGGUAUAAAAUAUUUUUAAUUAUGACGCAUUUGCUUGGGGAGGAGAGAGCAGUAACGUAGUGAAUCUAAGAGAAAUAAUUGCAUGACAAAUCUUCAAACACCUAUCAAACUUAGGAAAUCAAAGUGAAAUGCUGAUAUUCGAGUGAAAUGAGUUGCCUUUGAAUACAGCUAUGAAUGUUAUUAAGCAGCACAAAUUUUAUAGUCAGACAUAAACUUUUACUGUACAAAAUAUCAGCACUGAAAUCAAACAAUGUCAUAACAAAUAUAUAUAUGAA
rnacentral:lncRNA from 1 species